rnacentral:rRNA from 2 species
AAGGGGCAGUAAGGCAUGGGUGACCUACCUUUGGGUUCGGGAUAGCCAUCAGAGAUGGUGGGUAAUACCGGAUGACGUCGUGAGACCAAAGAUUCAUCGCCCUCAGAGGGGCCCAUGUGAUAUUAGCUAGUUGGUGAGGUAACGGCUCACCAAGGCGAAGAUGUCUAGCGGGUGUGAGAGCACGACCCGCGCCACUCGCACUGAGACACUGGCGAGACACCUACGGGUGGCUGCAGUCGAGGAUCUUCGGCAAUGGGCGCAAGCCUGACCGAGCGACGCCGCGUGAGCGAUGAAGGCCUUCGGGUUGUAAAGCUCUUUAGUGGGGGAGAAAAGCCGCAAGGUGUGAUCUAUCCCAAAAAUAAGCACGGGCUAAGUUCGUGCCAGCAGCCGCGGUAAGACGAACCGUGCGAACGUUGUUCGGAAUCACUGGGCUUAAAGGGCGCGUAGGCGGGCUGUCAAGUCUGGGGUGAAAUCCCGCGGCUCAACCGUGGAACUGCCUCAGAUACUGACGGCCUCGAGGGAGGUAGGGGCAUGCGGAACUGUAGGUGGAGCGGUGAAAUGCGUUGA